GAACAGGGCAGAAAUUGAAGCUUUUACCCAAGCUACAUUUGAAGUCUCAAGUGUAGCCUGUGAAAAAAUACUUUUUUGGUCUCAUUUGCAGUGGCUCUCGUUUUCUGAACUCGAUUAUUUUAGAAUCCCCCCCACCCGUUCCCUCUUCCUCUGGAGACACUGGACUGAAAUCUAGGACCUGAGCCCUAGGACCAUGCCUCAGGACUACCUGGCAUGAUGACUCCUUGCUGUCCCCAGUCCACCUGGCCGUGCUGCUGCUCCAGUUUCAACUGUUCUGCCUGCGGCUAUGGAACCCUGACCUGUUCACCGGACGUGCUUGUUGCACCCUCGACAACUACUAUGAUUAUUAUUAUUUGACCAUGCUGGUCAUUUAUGAACAUUUUAACAUCUUGAUCAUGUUCUGUUAUAAUAUCCACCCGGCACAGCCAGAAGAGGACUGGCCACCC
rnacentral:lncRNA from 1 species